CAAUACAGCUUGGCAUCUUCGUCAACCUGCUUCAGCUCAGCGAGGCUCAUCUCAUGCGCAUGCGACAGGAGUGAGAGAAGUAAGGCUUCCAGGACUUGUGCUGGGCUUCGGCAUGAUCUCGCACAUGAUCUUCUCUGUGAGAUCAUCAAGGUUACAAGGAAACGAAAUUAAUUUCUCGAGUUCCAACUCCGUGGAUUCCAAGGCUGAGUGGAUGCUGUACCAUUGAUGGCUGCUCUUGGGUGCAGCCUUCUCUGUUUAGGAGGUUGAGCCGCAGGUAUAAUAAUGUUGAUCGCUGAUGCAUCCUCUGCCUUGCGGUAAGGAUCGAUGAUUCCUUCACCGUCUUUCCGCUCUGUAGUCUACAAAAACAGAGAUGUAAUGGUGGAGCUCCUCGACACCGGUUGCUGUGGUCUCCCUCUGCCGAAAGCGAUGCUCUGCUUUCGGGCCUCGGUUGAUGCUGUUCUCGUC